AUUGAACGCUGGCGGCAGGCCUAACACAUGCAAGUCGAGCGAGCGGCGGACGGGUGAGUAAUGCCUGGGAAUUGCACAGUCGAGGGGGAUAACAGUGGGAAACGACUGCUAAUACCGAAUACGAUUGGAUUGCCCAGGUGGGAUUAGCUAGUUGGUGAGGUAAGGGCUCACAAAGGCGACGCUCCCUAGCGGGUCUGAGAGAUGUAUCAGCAAGACUGGAACUGAGACACGGUCCAGAAUCCUACGGGAGGCAGCAGUGGGGAAUAUUGCACAAUGGGGGAAACCCUGAUGCAGCCAUGCCGCGUGUGUGAAGAAGGCCUUCGGGUUGUAAAGCACUUUCAGCGAGGAGGCGUUACUCGCAGAAGAAGCACCGGCUAACUCCGUGCCAGCAGCCGCGGUAAUUC
rnacentral:rRNA from 1 species